rnacentral:rRNA from 1 species
UCCUACGGGGGGCAGCAGUAGGGAAUUUUCGUCAAUGGGCGCAAGCCUGAACGAGCGAUGCCGCGUGAACGAGGAAGGUCUUCGGAUCGUAAAGUUCUGUUGAAGGGGAAAAAGAGCGGAGAGAGGAAAUGGUCUCCGAUUGAUAUUACCCUUCGAGGAAGUCACGGCUAACUACGUGCCAGCAGCCGCGGUAAUACGUAGGUGGCGAGCGUUAUCCGGAAUGAUUGGGCGUAAAGGGUGCGUAGGCGGCCUGCUAAGUCUGGAGUGAAAGGUACCGGCUCAACCGGUACAGGCUCUGGAAACUG